GUGCUUGAGUAACCAAAAAAAUUAGGAAAGAAAUCGUUAAGGGCGUAUGGCGGAUGCCUAGGCUUUCAGAGGCGACGAAGGACGUGGUAAGCUGCGAAAAGCUACGGGGAUUGGCACACACGAAUAGAUCCGUAGAUAUCCGAAUGGGGCAACCCAAUACAUUGAAGAUGUAUUACUGCGUAAGCAGAGCAAACCCGGAGAACUGAAACAUCUAAGUACCCGGAGGAAAAGAAAUCGAAGAGAUCCCGUAAGUAGUGGC
rnacentral:rRNA from 1 species